rnacentral:lncRNA from 1 species
CAUGAGCUAAAAUCGAUACUGACUCCUCUGAAUAUGACAGAUCAAGCUACAAUUCAAUUUCGCUGGGAGAAAUCACAUGUGAAGGAUUUUAUCUAUACUAUCUCAACAUCGAAAUAUGAAAAAUGUUGUAAAUCUUUUCGAGUUCAGGAGGUAAAGCUAAUCUAUAAAGUACAAGACCGAUUCUUUCAUUAAUCUCCUACGACCCGAUAAACCUCGAACUAAGUUUCCCUUUUUUGC